UACGUAGGGGGGCAAGCGUUGUCCGGAUUAUUGGCGUAAAGAGCGUGUAGGCGGCCUGACAGGUCUGCUGUGAAAACUCGAGGCUCAACCUCGAGAUGUCGGCGGAAACCGUCUGGCUAGAGUCCGGAAGAGGAGAGUGGAAUUCCUGGUGUAGCGGUGAAAUGCGCAGAUAUCAGGAAGAACACCUAUGGCGAAGGCAGCUCUCUGGGACGGUACUGACGCUGAGACGCGAAAGCGUGGGGAGCGAACAGG
rnacentral:rRNA from 1 species